rnacentral:rRNA from 1 species
AAGUCGUAACAAGGUCUCCGUAGGUGAACCUGCGGAGGGAUCAUUACUGAGUGAGGGUUUCUGACCCGACCUCCAACCCUAUGUUAUUAAACCUUUGUUGCCUCGGGGGUUAUCCUUUGACGGAGCCCCCGGUGGACUAUUCAUUAAAAACUCUGCAUCUAUGCGUCGGUUGAUGAGACAAAUCAAUUAAAACUUUCAACAACGGAUCUCUUGGUUCUGGCAUCGAUGAAGAACGCAGCGAAAUGCGAUAAGUAAUGUGAAUUGCAGAAUUCAGUGAAUCAUCGAAUCUUUGAACGCACAUUGCGCCCCUUGGUAUUCCGGGGGGCAUGCCCGUUCGAGCGUCAUUUCACCACACAAGCCUGGCUUGGUAUUGGGCCGCGGGGGCGACCCGGGCUCGAAAGUCUGCGGCCGGACAGCCUGACUCACAGCGUCGUGCAUCAAAUUCGCUGACGGGGAGGGUGAUCCGCGCCGGUAAACUUCUUAUCAAAGGUUGACCUCGGAUCGGGUAGGGAUACCCGCUGAACUUAA